GACGAACGCUGGCGGCGUGCUUAACACAUGCAAGUCGAACGGAAAGGCCCUGCUUGCAGGGUACUCGAGUGGCGAACGGGUGAGUAACACGUGGGUGAUCUGCCCUGCACUUCGGGAUAAGCCUGGGAAACUGGGUCUAAUACCGGAUAGGAGCCAUUUUUAGUGUGAUGGUUGGAAAGUUUUUUCGGUGUAGGAUGAGCUCGCGGCCUGUCAGCUUGUUGGUGGGGUAAUGGCCUACCAAGGCGGCGACGGGUAGCCGGCCUGAGAGGGUGGACGGCCACAUUGGGACUGAGAUACGGCCCAGACGCCUACGGGAGGCAGCAGUGGGGAAUAUUGCACAAUGGGCGCAAGCCUGAUGCAGCGACGCCGCGUGGGGGAUGACGGCCUUCGGGUUGGAAACUCCUUUCGCUAGGGACGAAGCUUUUUGUGACGGUACCUAGAUAAGAAGCACCGGCUAACUACGUG
rnacentral:rRNA from 1 species